UACACUACAUGCUUACAAUUGAAUCUACAAAAAUCGUCUCAACCAUGCAUGUGUGCAGAAUGUCACUGUGCUACAGUAACUGUAGAAUCAUGUUUGGCAGUGCUGUCGAAAGUGUGCCCAUCAUUAUACCAGUAUGAUAAUGUGCCCACCCCUAUACCUUAUAUAGAUUUGAUGUUAUAAUUAUGUUCUCGUGCAAUAAUUAUUAUAGCUGCAGAUUAUAUAUAGUGUUAGGACGAUGAAUUAAAGUAAUAGUGUAUAGGACUCAGUCAAUAUUAUAUUGAAAAUUCCGAAUAGUGUAGGAAUAGUGUGGGGCAUGCAGGGUCAAUGAUAAUCAGUAUAGUAGAAGUGGUGGGUAUACAUGGGAGUGAACCCCUCAGAGUUUUUGGCACUCUGAAGUGGUUGACCAAUGGUUGCUAGCAUGCAAUGAUAAUCCUGCUAGUUCAUUUAUGGGAGGCUUAAGGAAGGAGCGAGUGCAUAUACAGACCGCCUUGUCGUCAGUGUUUUUCCACAGUAGCUGAAACAAAAGAAAAGGUAUUGAUUUGCAUUUACCUUCAGCAUGCAGUCGUGCAUGGUUACUGAGCCGCCUGUUUCCUUUCAUGCAUGGUGGCCCAAUUUGUUCCUGAAGAUAACCCACAUUGGAGCAAUUACCUUCUCAUGCUGGAAAUCACAGACCAUCUAUUUUCCCCAGAUCUCGACACUCAGAUGAAGUUGCUUACCUCAAAAACCCUUCAAUAGCCUUUUGUGAGCUCUAUACUGAUGCCCCCAAAAUGCACUAUCUGAUGCAUGCAUGCACCAAGACUGAUCAUUGAGUAUAAUUGAAGACGGUGCCACAAGCCAAUGAGAAAUUUGACUCAGACUAACAAACAGCAUCUGUAAAACUAUAUGACAAUAUCUACCAAGUGUAUAUACAGUGGCUACGUACUUGCAACCUAUUCCAGUAUAAUAAUAAUA